CAGCAGCCACGGUAAUACAGAGGGUGCGAGCGUUAAUCGGAUUUACUGGGCGUAAAGCGUGCGUAGGCGGCUUUUUAAGUCGGAUGUGAAAUCCCUGAGCUUAACUUAGGAAUUGCAUUCGAUACUGGGAAGCUAGAGUAUGGGAGAGGAUGGUAGAAUUCCAGGUGUAGCGGUCAAAUGCGUAGAGAUCUGGAGGAAUACCGAUGGCGAAGGCAGCCAUCUGGCCUAAUACUGACGCUGAGGUACGAAAGCAUGGGGAGCAAACAGGAUUAGAUACCCCCGUAGUCCCUGUCUCUUAUAC
rnacentral:rRNA from 1 species